rnacentral:lncRNA from 10 species
UGAGGAUUGGUUUUUCAAUUCAUGUGAAUGUUCAUGGCUGUGGGGGAUUUUAGGAGAGAGGGUUUCCUUGUCAGUCUUUCUCCUGCAUAUCUGCCUGGCUUCUUGGACAGCUCCAUUCAUCUGAACUGUUCUCUUACACUCUGACUGUGAGAAAGUCUUUUCCUGUCUUCACCCUAAGAUUUUCCACAUGUAAAACCUGACCUUAGUGCCUGACCCAUUUCUACAACCCAGAGACAGUGUGUGUCAAAGGAAUAAGGACAUUUUUUUUUUUUUUUUUUUUUUUUUUUUUUUUUUUUUUUUUUUUUCUGGAUGGAGCAAGCUAUGUCCUAGGCGCAAAAGGAGUGUGACUUUCUGUAUCCCCUCCUGGCUAUUAUCCUCAGGCUGCCUAUCUGCUCACUGAAGGGAAGAAUCAUUUUCUAGCAGCCUUGGCAACCAAUCACCAGAGGACACUCAUUGAACCUGCUGUGUACUUGCUGCAUGACCUCGUGCAAGGCAAUUAACCUCUCUAAUCCUUGGUUCCUUCAACUGGUACAAGAGAACAUCUUGUUUGUUGUGGGGAAAGUUCCUGGCAUAAAUUAGCUGCUCACAAAGGAUGGAAGACAUGGUUCUAAGAUCAGUGGAACUGGGCUGUGAGAAGAGCUCUCUGUUCUGGGACUUGCCAUACCCUCAAUGUGCCCUAGUGCCAUAUACCUGCCCCUUCCUUCCACACCUUCAGAGGCCCAGACUGGUCAAGGCCCCUCCUGCUGUGUUGUCUUCACCCUGCCUUUUUUGGCUAAUUUGAACAGAACAUCCCAUGAGGGCCCCUAGGCUCUUUAAGCUCUGAGCAGAUGGCUGGGAAGCCAGUUCUCUGAAACAAACAGUUCUUGACUUGGAUCUGGGCAAGGGGCCAAGACCUUUGAAGGGCUGUAGAAAAACUUCACCUUUGCCCCCACUUCCCUCCUGUUGCCCUCAAGAGCUUGUAGUUUUUACUACCUGUCUCUUUUAGUGCCAAAGAGGAAGGGAAAAAGGCCACGCCUAUUUGGAUUAGAUGCCCACUUGGAGUCCCUUCUUGGGCUGGCACCAGGGAGAAGCCUUGACCCCAGGUUUUGUGAGAGGCACCCAUGCUAUGUAGGGAGGGUUUCUCUGCUGCUGCAGAAGGAGGAUAAGGAAGCUACAGGAGAGCUCAUGGGGAGCUCCCAGAAAUGUCCUUGACUUGGGGAACAAGUGGGUACAGGGCAUCUGGAGAGUCCAGCGACACUGGGCUCUGGCUGGAGCCUGUUCAUCUCACAGCCAAGCAUGGGUGGCUUUGUCCUAGCACAAGAUCUGGGAAGGGACUAGAAGAGGGCUGUCUAGUUCCUGGGUGUAACUCAGAAUCCUCUGUGUUACUUCCAGGUCCAUCUGGAGGCAGGUAUAAAAGGGAGACAGGGGUAGUAUUGGCAAGAGAAGUGGCUGGGAUGGGUAUGCUUGGCCCUCCCCACUUCCCUGAUUUCUGGUCCUCAUUAUGUCUUUGGAUAUAUCAUUCCCACCCAAGGCCUCAUUCUAGUUCUCUAACAGAGCACACAGUGCUCUCCUUUAGGAUUACUAAUUGACAGAUCAUCCAUCCAUCCAUCCAUCCAUCCAACAACUAUUUACUGGUCAGCCAUUAUGUGUAGGGACCAUUCUGAGCUCUGCGAGGGUAUAACUGUGAAAAAGACAGAAAUGUUCUUCACAGAGCUCACAUGAUCACGGGGGAGCCAGACAGGUAACCAGGCAGCUACAUUCCAUGGAAUAAACCCAAUGAUAAAGGCAGGAUGUGGGAUCACAGAGGAUGACUUGUUGAGAAGGAUCAGGGAAGGUUCCUGGAAGCAGGGAGACCUGCACUGAGACAAGAGGAGUGAAUAGACAAUAGUGAGGUGAAAAGGGUGAGUCCAGGCAGAGGAAACUGCAUGUGGGGAGGCCUGGAGGCAAGAUCUGAAUAGCUGGAAGUUGUUCAGUUUGAGAAGAGAUCGUGUGCAUGUAUGUGUAGGGGUUGUGAAGAAGUAAGACGUGGCCAGAGAGGUAGUCAGAGGCCAGAUCAGGAAGGCCUUGUAAGCCAUGGUAAGGAGGCAGGACUUGAUCUUGAGGGAAACGAGGGGGCUUUGAAGGAUUUAGACAGGGCCAUGGCAUGAUCAGUUUGGUAUUUUUGAAAGAUGAUUCUGGUUUUUGGGUAGAGAUCAGAUAGUGGGGGAAAGGCACAAAUAGAAGCAGGAAGACAAGCCAGGAGGCUAGUGCAGUCGUCCAAGUGAGACAGAAUGGUGGCAUAGACUACCGUGGUGGCAGUGGAGAUGGAGAGAAGUGAUUGGAUUUGGGAUGUAUUUUAGAGGUAGAGCCAACACGACUCACUGAUGAAUUGAACUUGAGGGGCAAAUAUGAGGCAGGCCUCAAAGACACUUCCCGGUUUCUGACUUGGACCACUUUGGGGGUUGGUAGUGCCAUUCAUGGAGAUGGGAAAUAUUGAGAGAGCAGGUCUAGGGGAGAGAGGGUGAGUUCGGUGCCAUGUUGAGUUUGAGCUUCCGGGGUGACAUGUCCUAUAGCCAUUUUGCCAUCUAGGUCCAAAUCUCAGGAGAGACGAUGAGGCUAGAGACAGAAUUGUGAGGCCUUGAGAGCCACUGAGGUAACCCAAAGGGAGUGGAGGAUGCCAUGUUUUGUGCAGUGGGACUGCCUUGUCAAAGGUUUCUCUAUCCUUUGGUGCCCACUUCACCCAAACCCCGAAAGGCAGGUUUAGAAGGCUUUCAUCAAAGACUGUGAAACUUAGGGCAAAGACCCUGCAGGUAAUCCUAACUCUUGGCUCCCUCCCUUCCUCCCAGUCCCUGUCAUUUCCACAGCAUCCUGGGCUGACUUGAUUAGUUUCCAAGAAGGGUUUAUCCAUCCCAGGGGCCAGGCCAGCUGCCAUUCUUAGGAAAUUCAGUUUCUGGCUCCCUCUGCUGGCAGAGCUGGAGAUGACUGUUGGCUGGGGCAGCCUCCAUCCCAUGGCUUUCCUCCUCCUUCCUGCUUCCCCUGGGAGAUUAAACCCUCAGUCUCAAUCUUCUAUCCCCUACCCCCAAAUCCCACCUACUUUAUAAGAACCCUAGCUAGAA